AAAAACUGAGGUGGUGUAAGAUGGACCCGCGUCUGAUUAGCUGGUUGGUGAGGUAACGGCCCACCAAGGCGACGAUCAGUAGCCGGCCUGAGAGGGUGGACGGCCACAUUGGGACUGAGACACGGCCCAAACUCCUACGGGAGGCAGCAGUGGGGGAUAUUGGACAAUGGGGGGAACCCUGAUCCAGCGACGCCGCGUGAGUGAAGAAGUAUCUCGGUAUGUAAAGCUCUAUCAGCAGGGAAGAAGAAAUGACGGUACCUGAGUAAGAAGCCCCGGCUAACUACGUGCCAGCAGCCGCGGUAAUACGUAGGGGGCAAGCGUUAUCCGGAAUUACUGGGUGUAAAGGGAGCGUAGACGGUGAUGUAAGUCUGGAGUGAAAGGCGGGGGCCCAACCCCCGGACUGCUCUGGAAACUAUGUGACUGGAGUGCAGGAGAGGUGAGCGGAAUUCCUAGUGUAGCGGUGAAAUGCGUAGAUAUUAGGAGGAACACCAGUGGCGAAGGCGGCUCACUGGACUGUAACUGACGUUGAGGCUCGAAAGCGUGGGGAGCAAACAGGAUUAGAUACCCUGGUAGUCCACGCCGUAAACGAUGAUCACUAGGUGUGGGUGGGUAUGGACCCAUCG
rnacentral:rRNA from 1 species